UUUAAGUGUAGUUAUGGGUUUCUAUGUCUAACAUUUGACUGUCCAUCUUAUUUGAAAUUUAUUUUAUGAUUAGUAUGUUUAUUGUUAUUAGAUGAUAAAACAUGAAUAGUAUUUUAUGUGUUUAUGUGUGACUUUUUUUAAAUUUUUACAUAAAUUUUUCAAAUAAGACGAAUAAGACGGAUGGUUAAAAUUUGAACACAAAAAACCCAUAACUGUAUCUAAA
rfam:Oryza nivara chromosome 3, whole genome shotgun sequence.